UUCUUAUCAAGAGAGAUGGAGGGACUGGCCCUGUGAAAUCUCGGCAACAGACUUAAUUGUACUGUGCCAAAUCCUGUAGCAUUACGCUAAAAGAUGAGAA
rnacentral:ncRNA from 2 species